GUGGAGCAUGUGGCUUAAUUUGACUCAACGCGGGAAAUCUUACCGGGUCCGGACACACUGAGGAUUGACAGGCGAAGGAGUUUCGACUCUGUAAAUAUGCUAGUCCUUUCAUGAUUGUGUGAUAGGUGGUGCAUGGCCGUUCUUAGUUCGUGGAGUGAUCUGUCUGCUUAAUUGCGUUUUUUUAUCGGUACAGAUUCUCUGUUAAAGCUUUUCAUUCUAUGCACCUUUUACUUUUUUAAAGUUGGAAGGUUAAUAACCAAAGCCAUGUCUGGGAGCUGGAGAUCUAGUACUUUUUGAAACGAACGUGACCUCAACCCUUCUUUGUCGGGACUAAAUAUUUUCUUCAAUUCGAACUUGUUUGUUUUGUUAGAAUUAAUGGUACCGUGUUUGCAGAAGGGGACUGCCAGGUUUGCCCUGGAGGAAGGUUGAGGCAAUAACAGGUCGGUGAUGCC
rnacentral:rRNA from 1 species